rnacentral:lncRNA from 1 species
GGAAAGUUGCAGUGUAGGACGAGCUCCCUUGUACCCUCUAUCUCCGUCUUCCAUGGUCCUUGCAGGUCCUCGAGACUCGUGCAGUUGCAUGCUAAUGUCAUCGUACACCAGAGUGAUUAAGGUCUCUAAACUCUAAUAGGAUAUCAGCGGUGUCGUAACCGUGUUGGACGCAUAUGCAAUAUAUACCGAGUGAGACAACGCAACUUUUGCUGACCUCUCGCAGACCAAGAAUUGAUGUGAUCCUCGUCAACUGACCACCUGUUCCUCACACUUAAUUAUGUUUACCCCCUUUUCUCCAGGUAAAAGAAAAAGAACAAAUGACACCAGCGGAGAGAAAACAUUUUUUUUCUUGUUGUAAGAUAGAGGCUAGGAGAGAGAGAGAAAACAAAAAGAUGCGGCACC